rnacentral:rRNA from 1 species
UACGUAGGGUGCAAGCGUUGUCCGGAAUUACUGGGCGUAAAGCGUGCGCAGGCGGUUGGGCAAGACCGAUGUGAAAUCCCCGGGCUUAACCUGGGAAUGGCAUUGGUGACUGCACGGCUAGAGUGUGUCAGAGGGGGGUAGAAUUCCACGUGUAGCAGUGAAAUGCGUAGAGAUGUGGAGGAAUACCGAUGGCGAAGGCAGCCCCCUGGGAUAACACUGACGCUCAUGCACGAAAGCGUGGGGAGCAAACAGG